rnacentral:tRNA from 1 species
CGCGGGAUGGAGCAGUCUGGUAGCUCGUCGGGCUCAUAACCCGAAGGUNNUCAAAUCCGGCUCCCGCAACCA